UUUUUUUCUUGGAUUGUUUCUAACAACAGUAUAUCAAAACUUACUCUCUUUCGAAGGCCAAAUUAUAAGUGACACUGAUUGACAAAUUGUUAUGUGACUCAUGAACAUCAUUGACUAUCUACUGGGACGGAGCCCAUCUUUAUUGUGUGUUUUUACUUCAUCUAACCAUGAUUCAAAAUCCAAUGAUGAGAUCACUAAGCAACCGAAUUCCCAUAUAACUCUUAGGCCAGUCAUAUAUGAGUCCAGAAACCCAAGAAUUUGCAAGUGGAACAACAUUCUAUCAUAUUCAAGAACUAUAGACUUGAAAGAGCUUGACCUAAGACCAAUCUUUCAGCCUAUUUAUCAUCACAGAAAGUGGUAAAAUGAAUCUUAAGAUAAUUAUUAUCUUGGCCACACAUGAAAACAGAAGAAUACAAUUCCGCCUAUUUAUCAUCAUAGAAAGUGGUAAAAUGAC
rnacentral:misc_RNA from 1 species